AGCGAACGCUGGCGGCAGGCCUAACACAUGCAAGUCGAACGGAUCCUUCGGGAUUAGUGGCGGACGGGUGAGUAACACGUGGGAACGUGCCCUUUGGUUCGGAACAACUCAGGGAAACUUGAGCCAAUACCGGAUGUGCCCUUCGGGGGAAAGAUUUAUCGCCAUUGGAGCGGCCCGCGUCUGAUUAGCUAGUUGGUGAGGUAACGGCCCACCAAGGCGACGAUCAGUAGCUGGUCUGAGAGGAUGAUCAGCCACACUGGGACUGAGACACGGCCCAGACUCCUACGGGAGGCAGCAGUGGGGAAUCUUGCGCAAUGGGCGAAAGCCUGGCGCAGCCAUGCCGCGUGAAUGAUGAAGGUCUUAGGAUUGUAAAAUUCUUUCAGCGGGGACGAUAAUGACGGUACCCGCAGAAGAAGCUCCGGCUAACUUCGUG
rnacentral:rRNA from 1 species